rnacentral:rRNA from 1 species
UGGGGAAUAUUGCACAAUGGGCGCAAGCCUGAUGCAGCCAUGCCGCGUGUGUGAAGAAGGCCUUCGGGUUGUAAAGCACUUUCAGCGGGGAGGAAGGCGAUAAGGUUAAUAACCUUGUCGAUUGACGUUACCCGCAGAAGAAGCACCGGCUAACUCCGUGCCAGCAGCCGCGGUAAUACGGAGGGUGCAAGCGUUAAUCGGAAUUACUGGGCGUAAAGCGCACGCAGGCGGUCUGUCAAGUCGGAUGUGAAAUCCCCGGGCUUAACCUGGGAACUGCAUUCGAAACUGGCAGGCUAGAGUCUUGUAGAGGGGGGUAGAAUUCCAGGUGGAGCGGUGAAAUGCGUAGAGAUCUGGAGGAAUACCGGUGGCGAAGGCGGCCCCCUGGACGAAGACUGACGCUCAGGUGCGAAAGCGUGGGGAGCAAACAGG